ACCAGGUGCAGGGGGGUUGCUGAAGAAGUACGUGGGCCUGAAAUCAAUUUUUUGUUUAACAGAAAUAAUUUAGAACAUGAACUGUUAAGAGAGGCAAUAAAAGUCUGUACGUCAAAAACAUGAAAUUUGCAAUUGCGUGGAGUUGUCAAGUCCCUUGUAGAUCUUCUAAGUGUUUUCAAGUUAAGGCAUUUACAAGGAGAUAAAGAAGUACAAUGGAACUUAUGAAUAUAUAUAAGCAAAGACUGACAAACCGCCAAUGUGCAGAAGAAAAUAAACUCUGCAAAUAAAAAUAAAGCAAUGCCACCUCGUCUGCCUUCCUGUCUGUCCUUUCGAUACAAUGUGUAUCCUUGGUCAUUAAGCUCCCAGCUAUAAUCUUUGUUCAGCCAUGAUUCAGUGAUGCCUACAACAUCAUACCUGCCAAUCUGCAACUGUGCUACAAGUUCAUCUACCUUAUUAUGUAUACUGUGCACAUUCAAAUAAAACA